GACUAAGCGUACACGGUGGAUGCCCUGGCAGUCAGAGGCGAUGAAGGACGUGCUAAUCUGCGAUAAGCGUCGGUAAGGUGAUAUGAACCGUUAUAACCGGCGAUUUCCGAAUGGGGAAACCCAGUGUGUUUCGACACACUAUCAUUAACUGAAUCCAUAGGUUAAUGAGGCGAACCGGGGGAACUGAAACAUCUAAGUACCCCGAGGAAAAGAAAUCAACCGAGAUUCCCCCAGUAGCGGCGAGCGAACGGGGAGCAGCCCAGAGCCUGAAUCAGUGUGUGUGUUAGUGGAAGCGUCUGGAAAGGCGCGCGAUACAGGGUGACAGCCCCGUACACAAAAAUGCACAUACUGUGAGCUCGAUGAGUAGGGCGGGACACGUGGUAUCCUGUCUGAAUAUGGGGGGACCAUCCUCCAAGGCUAAAUACUCCUGACUGACCGAUAGUGAACCAGUACCGUGAGGGAAAGGCGAAAAGAACCCCGGCGAGGGGAGUGAAAAAGAACCUGAAACCGUGUACGUACAAGCAGUGGGAGCACGCUUAGGCGUGUGACUGCGUACCUUUUGUAUAAUGGGUCAGCGACUUAUAUUCUGUAGCAAGGUUAACCGAAUAGGGGAGCCGAAGGGAAACCGAGUCUUAACUGGGCGUUAAGUUGCAGGGUAUAGACCCGAAACCCGGUGAUCUAGCCAUGGGCAGGUUGAAGGUUGGGUAACACUAACUGGAGGACCGAACCGACUAAUGUUGAAAAAUUAGCGGAUGACUUGUGGCUGGGGGUGAAAGGCCAAUCAAACCGGGAGAUAGCUGGUUCUCCCCGAAAGCUAUUUAGGUAGCGCCUCGUGAAUUCAUCUCCGGGGGUAGAGCACUGUUUCGGCAAGGGGGUCAUCCCGACUUACCAACCCGAUGCAAACUGCGAAUACCGGAGAAUGUUAUCACGGGAGACACACGGCGGGUGCUAACGUCCGUCGUGAAGAGGGAAACAACCCAGACCGCCAGCUAAGGUCCCAAAGUCAUGGUUAAGUGGGAAACGAUGUGGGAAGGCCCAGACAGCCAGGAUGUUGGCUUAGAAGCAGCCAUCAUUUAAAGAAAGCGUAAUAGCUCACUGGUCGAGUCGGCCUGCGCGGAAGAUGUAACGGGGCUAAACCAUGCACCGAAGCUGCGGCAGCGACGCUGAUGCGUUGUUGGGUAGGGGAGCGUUCUGUAAGCCUGCGAAGGUGUGCUGUGAGGCAUGCUGGAGGUAUCAGAAGUGCGAAUGCUGACAUAAGUAACGAUAAAGCGGGUGAAAAGCCCGCUCGCCGGAAGACCAAGGGUUCCUGUCCAACGUUAAUCGGGGCAGGGUGAGUCGACCCCUAAGGCGAGGCCGAAAGGCGUAGUCGAUGGGAAACAGGUUAAUAUUCCUGUACUUGGUGUUACUGCGAAGGGGGGACGGAGAAGGCUAUGUUGGCCGGGCGACGGUUGUCCCGGUUUAAGCGUGUAGGCUGGUUUUCCAGGCAAAUCCGGAAAAUCAAGGCUGAGGCGUGAUGACGAGGCACUACGGUGCUGAAGCAACAAAUGCCCUGCUUCCAGGAAAAGCCUCUAAGCAUCAGGUAACAUCAAAUCGUACCCCAAACCGACACAGGUGGUCAGGUAGAGAAUACCAAGGCGCUUGAGAGAACUCGGGUGAAGGAACUAGGCAAAAUGGUGCCGUAACUUCGGGAGAAGGCACGCUGAUAUGUAGGUGAAGCGACUUGCUCGUGGAGCUGAAAUCAGUCGAAGAUACCAGCUGGCUGCAACUGUUUAUUAAAAACACAGCACUGUGCAAACACGAAAGUGGACGUAUACGGUGUGACGCCUGCCCGGUGCCGGAAGGUUAAUUGAUGGGGUCAGCGCAAGCGAAGCUCUUGAUCGAAGCCCCGGUAAACGGCGGCCGUAACUAUAACGGUCCUAAGGUAGCGAAAUUCCUUGUCGGGUAAGUUCCGACCUGCACGAAUGGCGUAAUGAUGGCCAGGCUGUCUCCACCCGAGACUCAGUGAAAUUGAACUCGCUGUGAAGAUGCAGUGUACCCGCGGCAAGACGGAAAGACCCCGUGAACCUUUACUAUAGCUUGACACUGAACAUUGAGCCUUGAUGUGUAGGAUAGGUGGGAGGCUUUGAAGUGUGGACGCCAGUCUGCAUGGAGCCGACCUUGAAAUACCACCCUUUAAUGUUUGAUGUUCUAACGUUGACCCGUGAUCCGGGUUGCGGACAGUGUCUGGUGGGUAGUUUGACUGGGGCGGUCUCCUCCUAAAGAGUAACGGAGGAGCACGAAGGUUGGCUAAUCCUGGUCGGACAUCAGGAGGUUAGUGCAAUGGCAUAAGCCAGCUUGACUGCGAGCGUGACGGCGCGAGCAGGUGCGAAAGCAGGUCAUAGUGAUCCGGUGGUUCUGAAUGGAAGGGCCAUCGCUCAACGGAUAAAAGGUACUCCGGGGAUAACAGGCUGAUACCGCCCAAGAGUUCAUAUCGACGGCGGUGUUUGGCACCUCGAUGUCGGCUCAUCACAUCCUGGGGCUGAAGUAGGUCCCAAGGGUAUGGCUGUUCGCCAUUUAAAGUGGUACGCGAGCUGGGUUUAGAACGUCGUGAGACAGUUCGGUCCCUAUCUGCCGUGGGCGCUGGAGAACUGAGGGGGGCUGCUCCUAGUACGAGAGGACCGGAGUGGACGCAUCACUGGUGUUCGGGUUGUCAUGCCAAUGGCACUGCCCGGUAGCUAAAUGCGGAAGAGAUAAGUGCUGAAAGCAUCUAAGCACGAAACUUGCCCCGAGAUGAGUUCUCCCUGACUCCUUGAGAGUCCUGAAGGAACGUUGAAGACGACGACGUUGAUAGGCCGGGUGUGUAAGCGCAGCGAUGCGUUGAGCUAACCGGUACUAAUGAACCGUGAGGCUUAACCUUACAACGCCGAAGCUGUU
rnacentral:rRNA from 2 species